UACGUAGGUGGCAAGCGUUGUCCGGAAUUAUUGGGCGUAAAGCGCGCGCAGGUGGUUUCUUAAGUCUGAUGUGAAAGCCCACGGCUCAACCGUGGAGGGUCAUUGGAAACUGGGGAACUUGAGUGCAGAAGAGGAAAGUGGAAUUCCAAGUGUAGCGGUGAAAUGCGUAGAGAUUUGGAGGAACACCAGUGGCGAAGGCGACUUUCUGGUCUGUAACUGACACUGAGGCGCGAAAAGCGUGGGGAGCAAACAGGG
rnacentral:rRNA from 1 species